rnacentral:rRNA from 1 species
AUUGAACGCUGGCGGCAGGCCUAACACAUGCAAGUCGAGCGGAUGAAGGGAGCUUGCUCCUGGAUUCAGCGGCGGGCGGGUGAGUAAUGCCUAGGAAUCUGCCUGGUAGUGGGGGAUAACGUCCGGAGACGGGCGCUAAUACCGCAUACGUCCUGAGGGAGAAAGUGGGGGAUCUUCGGACCUCACGCUAUCAGAUGAGCCUAGGUCGGAUUAGCUAGUUGGUGGGGUAAAGGCCUACCAAGGCGACGAUCCGUAACUGGUCUGAGAGGAUGAUCAGUCACACUGGAACUGAGACACGGUCCAGACUCCUACGGGAGGCAGCAGUGGGGAAUAUUGGACAAUGGGCGAAAGCCUGAUCCAGCCAUGCCGCGUGUGUGAAGAAGGUCUUCGGAUUGUAAAGCACUUUAAGUUGGGAGGAAGGGCAGUAAGUUAAUACCUUGCUGUUUUGACGUUACCAACAGAAUAAGCACCGGCUAACUUCGUG